rnacentral:rRNA from 1 species
GGAUGUGCCCAGAUGGGAUUAGCUAGUAGGUGGGGUAACGGCUCACCUAGGCGACGAUCCCUAGCUGGUCUGAGAGGAUGACCAGCCACACUGGAACUGAGACACGGUCCAGACUCCUACGGGAGGCAGCAGUGGGGAAUAUUGCACAAUGGGCGCAAGCCUGAUGCAGCCAUGCCGCGUGUAUGAAGAAGGCCUUCGGGUUGUAAAGUACUUUCAGCGAGGAGGAAGGUGUUGUGGUUAAUAACCGCAGCAAUUGACGUUACUCGCAGAAGAAGCACCGGCUAACUCCGUGCCAGCAGCCGCGGUAAUACGGAGGGUGCAAGCGUUAAUCGGAAUUACUGGGCGUAAAGCGCACGCAGGCGGUCUGUCAAGUCGGAUGUGAAAUCCCCGGGCUCAACCUGGGAACUGCAUCCGAAACUGGCAGGCUAGAGUCUUGUAGAGGGGGGUAGAAUUCCAGGUGUAGCGGUGAAAUGCGUAGAGAUCUGGAGGAAUACCGGUGGCGAAGGCGGCCCCCUG